rnacentral:rRNA from 1 species
AUUGAACGCUGGCGGCAUGCCUUACACAUGCAAGUCGAACGGCAGCGGACCUUCGGGUGCCGGCGAGUGGCGAACGGGUGAGUAAAGUAUCGGAACGUACCUUUCAGUGGGGGAUAACGUAGCGAAAGUUACGCUAAUACCGCAUAUUCUGUGAGCAGGAAAGCAGGGGAUCGCAAGACCUUGCGCUGAUUGAGCGGCCGAUAUCAGAUUAGCUAGUUGGUGAGGUAAAAGCUCACCAAGGCGACGAUCUGUAGCGGGUCUGAGAGGAUGAUCCGCCACACUGGAACUGAGACACGGUCCAGACUCCUACGGGAGGCAGCAGUGGGGAAUUUUGGACAAUGGGGGCAACCCUGAUCCAGCCAUGCCGCGUGAGUGAAGAAGGCCU